rnacentral:rRNA from 1 species
CAGGCCUAACACAUGCAAGUCGAGCGGUAGCACAGGGGGCUUGCUCCUGGGUGACGAGCGGCGGACGGGUGAGUAAUGCGUAGGAAGCUGCCCGAUAGAGGGGGAUACCAGUUGGAAACGACUGUUAAUACCGCAUAAUGUCUACGGACCAAAGUGUGGGACCUUCGGGCCACAUGCUAUCGGAUGCGCCUACGUGGGAUUAGCUAGUUGGUGAGGUAAUGGCUCACCAAGGCGACGAUCUCUAGCUGGUUUGAGAGGAUGAUCAGCCACACUGGAACUGAGACACGGUCCAGACUCCUACGGGAGGCAGCAGUGGGGAAUAUUGGACAAUGGGCGCAAGCCUGAUCCAGCCAUGCCGCGUGUGUGAAGAAGGCCUUCGGGUUGUAAAGCACUUUCAGCGAGGAGGAAGGGGUGUGUGUUAAUAGUACACACCUUUGACGUUACUCGCAGAAGAAGCACCGGCUAACUCUGUGCCAGCCGCCGCAGUAA